UGGAAGUUGACGUAUAUAAUAUGAGCACAAUUUCAUACAAAUGUACACUUAACAACGGUGAGAAAACAAUUGAAUUAUCGUAAUGAAGUAGAGCUUUGUGUAUUCUUACCCUUGAGCUAAUCCAUUCCGUAUCAUCAAUCAGUUUGUAGAAAAACACAAGGCCCACUAAACAAGAUUCCAGCUGCACCUUUGCACUACAAUAGGCAAACUUGCAACGGUGAAUUUUGUACUCAUCUUAU
rnacentral:lncRNA from 1 species